AUUAAACGCUGGCGGCAGGCCUAACACAUGCAAGUCGAGCGGCAGCGGGAGGAAGCUUGCUUCUUUGCCGGCGAGCGGCGGACGGGUGAGUAAUGUCUGGGGAUUUGCCCGACGGAGGGGGAUAACUACUGGAAACGGUAGCUAAUACCGCAUAACGUCGCAAGACCAAAGUGGGGGACUUACGGGCCUCACACCAUCGGAUAAACCCAGAUGGGAUUAGCUAGUAGGUGGGGUAAUGGCUCACCUAGGCGACGAUCCCUAGCUGGUCUGAGAGGAUGACCAGCCACACUGGAACUGAGACACGGUCCAGACUCCUACGGGAGGCAGCAGUGGGGGAUAUUGCACAAUGGGGGAAACCCUGAUGCAGCCAUGCCGCGUGUGUGAAGAAGGCCUUAGGGUUGUAAAGCACUUUCAGUGGGGAGGAAAGCAAUAAUGCUAAUAUCAUUAUUGAUUGACGGUACCCGCAUAAGAAGCACCGGCUAACUCCGUGCCAGCAGCCGCGGUAAUACGGAGGGUGCGAGCGUUAAUCGGAAUUACUGGGCGUAAAGCGUACGUAGGCGGUCUGUUAAGUCAGAUGUGAAAUCCCCGGGCUCAACCUAGGAACUGCAUUUGAAACUGGCAGACUAGAAUCUCGUAGAGGGGGGUAGAAUUCCAGGUGUAGCGGUGAAAUGCGUAGAGAUCUGGAGGAAUACCGGUGGCGAAGGCGGCCCCCUGGACGACGACUGACGCUCAGGUACGAAAGCGUGGGGAGCAAACAGGAUUAGAUACCCUGGUAGUCCAUGCUGUAAACGAUGUCGAUUUGAAGGUUGUGGCCUUGAGCUGUGGCUUUCGGAGCUAACGCGUUAAAUCGACCGCCUGGGGAGUACGGCCGCAAGGUUAAAACUCAAAUGAAUUGACGGGGGCCCGCACAAGCGGUGGAGCAUGUGGUUUAAUUCGAUGCAACGCGAAGAACCUUACCUACUCUUGACAUCCAGAGAACAUGGCAGAGAUGCUGUGGUGCCUUCGGGAACUCUGUGACAGGUGCUGCAUGGCUGUCGUCAGCUCGUGUUGUGAAAUGUUGGGUUAAGUCCCGCAACGAGCGCAACCCUUAUCCUUUGUUGCCAGCGAUACGGUCGGGAACUCAAAGGAGACUGCCGGUGAUAAACCGGAGGAAGGUGAGGAUGACGUCAAGUCAUUAUGGCCCUUACGAGUAGGGCUACACACGUGCUACAAUGGCGCAUACAAAGAGAAGCG
rnacentral:rRNA from 1 species